rnacentral:rRNA from 1 species
GAUGAACGCUGGCGGCGUGCCUAAUACAUGCAAGUCGAGCGAACAGACGAGGAGCUUGCUCCUCUGACGUUAGCGGCGGACGGGUGAGUAACACGUGGAUAACCUACCUAUAAGACUGGGAUAACUUCGGGAAACCGGAGCUAAUACCGGAUAAUAUAUUGAACCGCAGGGUUCAAUAGUGAAAGACGGUUUUGCUGUCACUUAUAGAUGGAUCCGGGCCGUAUUAGGUAGUUGUUAAGGUAACGGCUUACCACGGCAACGAUGCGUAUCCGACCUGAGAGGGUGAUAGGCGACACUGGAAGUGAGACGCGGUCCAGACUCCUACGGGAGGCAGCAGUAGGGAAUCGUCCGCAAUGGGCGAAAGCCUUGCGGAGCAACGCCGCGUGAGUGAUGAAGGUCUUCGGAUCGUAAAACUCUGUUAUUGGGGAAGAACAAAUGUGUAAGUAACUAUGCACGUCUUGACGGUACCUAGUAAGAAAGCCACGGCUAACUACGUG